rnacentral:rRNA from 1 species
GAGUAAUGUCUGGGAAACUGCCUGAUGGAGGGGGAUAACUACUGGAAACGGUGGCUAAUACCGCAUAACGUCGCAAGACCAAAGAGGGGGACCUUCGGGCCUCUUGCCAUCAGAUGUGCCCAGAUGGGAUUAGCUUGUUGGUGAGGUAACGGCUCACCAAGGCGACGAUCCCUAGCUGGUCUGAGAGGAUGACCAGCCACACUGGAACUGAGACACGGUCCAGACUCCUACGGGAGGCAGCAGUGGGGAAUAUUGCACAAUGGGCGCAAGCCUGAUGCAGCCAUGCCGCGUGUAUGAAGAAGGCCUUCGGGUUGUAAAGUACUUUCAGCGGGGAGGAAGGUGUUGUGGUUAAUAACCGCAGCAAUUGACGUUACCCGCAGAAGAAGCACCGGCUAACUCCGUGCCAGCAGCCGCGGUAAUACGGAGGGUGCAAGCGUUAAUCGGAAUUACUGGGCGUAAAGCGCACGCAGGCGGUCUGUCAAGUCGGAUGUGAAAUCCCCGGGCUCAACCUGGGAACUGCAUUCGAAACUGGCAGGCUUGAGUCUUGUAGAGGGGGGUAGAAUU